rnacentral:rRNA from 1 species
UACGUAGGGUGCGAGCGUUGUCCGGAAUUAUUGGGCGUAAAGGGCUCGUAGGCGGCGUGUCGCGUCGGGAGUGAAAGCCCGCUGCUUAACGGCGGGUUGGCUUCCGGUACGGGCAGACUAGAGUGCGGUAGGGGAGACUGGAAUUCCUGGUGUAGCGGUGGAAUGCGCAGAUAUCAGGAGGAACACCGAUGGCGAAGGCAGAUCUCUGGGCCGUAACUGACGCUGGAGCUGACGAAAGCUAGGGGAGCAAACAGG